AGCACAUAUCUUAAGAACCAGAUAUACGUUCAAGCUGAAAAUUUGAUCGAUUGGUUUCAGCUUGAAUGGAUGUCUGGUUCUUCUGAUUUGUGC
rnacentral:pre_miRNA from 1 species